GGAGAAGUACCCAAGUAGGUCGAAGGGGACGGUUUGCUAAACCGUUAGGUCGGGUAACUGGCGCCAGGGUUCGAAUCCCUGCUUCUCCGCCA
rnacentral:tRNA from 1 species